rnacentral:rRNA from 1 species
GAUGAACGCUGACAGAAUGCUUAACACAUGCAAGUCAACUUGAAUUUGGGUUUUUAACUUAGGUUUGGGUGGCGGACGGGUGAGUAACGCGUAAAGAACUUGCCUCACAGCUAGGGACAACAUUUGGAAACGAAUGCUAAUACCUAAUAUUAUGAUAAUAGGGCAUCCUAUAAUUAUGAAAGCUAUAAGCGCUGUGAGAGAGCUUUGCGUCCCAUUAGCUAGUUGGAGAGGUAACGUCUCACCAAGGCGAUGAUGGGUAGCCGGCCUGAGAGGGUGAUCGGCCACAAGGGGACGGAGACACGGACCUUACUCCUACGGGAGGCAGGAGUGGGGAAGAUUGGACAAUGGACCGAGAGUCUGAUCCAGCAAUUCUGUGUGCACGAUGAAGUUUUUCGGAAUGUAAAGUGCUUUCAGUUGGGAAGAAACAAAUGACGGUACCAACAGAAGAAGUGACGGCUAAAUACGUG